rnacentral:rRNA from 1 species
AUCUAUCCAAUGUGCGAGUGGGAGGGUGGAGAAACCCGAACGCGUACCGAAAGGAAGAAUAAGGUGUGAUAAUUUGCAACAUCAGCCAACCCUUAUUGGGCUUGAGCAAGAGCACAUUUGAUAGGAUACGCUUGAGUAGGGCGAAGCCAGGGGAAACUCUGGUGGAGGCUCGAAGCGAUACUGACGUGCAAAUCGUUCGUCGAACUUGAGUGU